rnacentral:rRNA from 1 species
UACGGAGGAUGCGAGCGUUAUCCGGAUUUAUUGGGUUUAAAGGGUGCGUUGGCGGACGCUUAAGUCAGCGGUAAAAUUGCGGGGCUCAACCUCGUCGAGCCGUUGAAACUGGGUGUCUUGAGUGGGCGAGAAGUACGCGGAAUGCGUGGUGUAGCGGUGAAAUGCAUAGAUAUCACGCAGAACUCCGAUUGCGAAGGCAGCGUACCGGCGCCCAACUGACGCUGAAGCACGAAGGCGUGGGUAUCGAACAGG